GGCUGCACCCGAAGCAAAUGGAAGUUCCCAGGUUAGGGGUCCAUUCGGAGCUGCAGAAUACACCACCAUAUCAGAUCUGAGCUGCACCUGCGACCUAUGCCGCAACUUGUGGCAACCGGAUCCUUAACCCACUGAGCAAGGCCAGGGAUCAAACCUGCAUCCUCAUGGAUACUAGCUGGGUCCUUAACCGGCUGAGCCACAACAGGAACUCUCUCACACACCUUUUCUUUUUCUUUUUUUGGCUGCACCAACGGCAUGCGAAAUUUCCUGGGCAGGGAUUGAACACAAAGCCAAAUCCUUAACUGGUGACCAGGGAACUCCCGAUGCUUGAUUACUUUUUAAACGUUAAUCUAAUCUUAUAUUCCUGGAACAAAGCCAACUUUCAGCACCUUGAAGAUGUCUUUCCAUUGUCUUCUGGCUUCCCUCGUUUGGGUUGAGAAUUUCUGACGUGUUGCUCCUUUGAACAUAAUGUGUGGUUUUGUUUUUUUGUUGUUAACCUCUAGACUCUUUUAAGAUUAUCUCUUUCCCUUUGUUUUUUUCAGCAGUUUUACUACAGAACUCUUUUUUUUUUUUUUUUUGGUCUUUUUUUGAUAUUUCUUUGGGCUGCUCCCACGGCAUAUGGAGGUUUCCAGGCUAGGGAUUGAAUCGGAGCUGUAGCCCCUGGCUGUAGCCACAGCAAUGCCAGAUCUGAGCCGCGUCUGCAACCUACACCACAGCUCCCGGCAACGCCAGAUCGUUAACCCACUGAGCACGGGCAGGGACUGAACCCGCAACCUCAUGGUUCCUAGUCGGAUUCAUUAACCACUGCGCCACGACGGGAACUCCUCCACAGGAUUCUUGAAUCUGUGACUUAAUGUCUUUCAUCAGUGUUGGAAAAACUUCAGCCACGAUCUCUUCAACUAUUGCUUCUGUCCUGUUUCUCUUUCUUAUCCUGGGAUUCCAGUCAUAUGCAUGGUAGAAUUCUUCACUCUGAUCCUUGCAUUUGAAUUCUUCCCUUUUGUCUUUCAUGCUUCAUAUUAGUUAUUGAUUCUGAUCUAUCUUCUUACUCACCACUUCUCACCUCAGCUAUAAUAUCUUUCUACAAUACAUAAUUUCCACUUUUUUUCUUUUUCUUUUUUUGGCUUUUCAGGUCCGCACCUGUGGCAUAUGGAGGUCCCCAGGCUAGGUAGGGGUCCAAUCAGAGCUAUAGCUGCCGGCCUACACCACAGCCACAGCAAUGUGGGAUCUGAGCCAUAUCUGCGACCUACACCACAGCUCACGGCAACGCCAGAUUGCUAACCCACUGAGUGAGGACAGGGAUCGAACCCGAAACCUCAUGGUUCCUAAUUGGAUUUGUUGCCGCUGUGCCACAAAAGGAACUCCUGACUUUUUUUUUCAAAUCAGUGUCCUUUUUAAAAAUACAAUUUCUAGUGUUCUACCAAAAUUCCCAAUCUUUGUGAGUGUAAUAAACAAUUUUAUUUUAAAGUUUGUCUUUUAAAUCUAAUAUUUAGAGUCUCAUAGUUCUGUUUCUAUCAUUUAUCAUUUCGGCUGGUUCAUGAGUUCUCUCAUGGGCUUGGUUGGUUUUGUUGUGUGUCAUUACUGUACAAACAGUCUUGAUUUGCACAGCAAUGUGAGAAGAUAAAAAGCAUCCCACAAGCAGAGAUUAUGCAAAGUGAUUUUACUAAUCAGUGGUGAAAAAUCACAACUGCUCCAUGACCUUUAAAUUUUUUGUCAAAAUAUUAAAACAACCC
rnacentral:lncRNA from 1 species